rnacentral:tRNA from 14 species
AAAUAGCUCAGCUGCGUAAGAGCUUGACUCCAAAUCUGGAGAUCGCAGGUUCGAUGCCUGUU